CGUUUGCCCUCUCGCCGCCCCCUCUCGAGGUUGAGGAGAGGAGAGGAAAUGGCCCCGGAGGCGAUAAUCGAGCUGCCAGUGUGUCUGGCCUGACAGCUCCUACCUAAGCCUUUCCCCGGAGGCCCGAGGCCAGCCCAGCCCCUGGAGGCGGGCCGGGCUGAGACAGCCCGCGCUGGGAUCCACAAUUUGACACCCGUCCCCUUCCACCGCUCCCCACUCCACGAGCUCCCCACCAAACGCCCCUCGCCAUCUCAGAAAGAAGGCCCCAGAAGGCCCUGUCUUCUGUGUCCCUUCCCCCAACCUCCACCCCUAGGUGAAGCGGGCAGUGUUUGGUUCCCCAGGCCUGGGGGCCUGAGAUGCCAGCCUCUACCCACCUACACCCGAGGCAUCAGUUGCUGGACAGCACGAACCCCUUUGCCUUCAGUAGGGCUGCCUUCGAAGACUCCUGGGCACCUGCAGCUCUGAGCAGCCCUCCCUGCGCUCCGUCCCGGGAGAUCCAGCUAAGCUGACAGCUCCCCGGGGAGACCCUGAUCCCCUCUUACCCUGUGUUCUCCCAGCAACAAUGAGGGGCAAGAGUAGGAUGGGAACUCACACGGACUGGGCCAGGCCAGUUUGGCCAGAUGACUAUCUUCCUGAGUCCUGCAUGUGAGUGACUGCCCAGGUUCCUCGGGCAAACAAGCCCAGAUCUGUUAGGAAGUGCAGUGGCAGAGCUGGGACUGAGCCAGGCUGUGACUCCGGAUGCCCGUCCACACAUAGUGGCACUCCCUGCUCCCCAGCCGCCUGGCUAGGGCUGGCCGGGCUGCCUAUCUCUGGCCCAGAGCGAUGGCCUGCUCUCCCAGUCCCUCCUCCUCCCCACUACCACGGGCCUGGCUUCCCUUCUGAGCCGCCAAUCUGCAAGCCACACAAAGCCCUGUUUGUUUGCUUUCUCUGCUGCUCCCUCUGGAUCCGAUGUCUUUCUCUGCUACCUGCCGGCCUGGCUUCCUCUCCAAGCUGUCCUCCCAGCCAGCUGAAGGGAAGGAGGGGGCGGCCAUUCCAGCAGGCCCUGCCUCACAGCCACCCCAGCAUUCCUCAAAUCCACCUCCUCAGUGCCAGGGCACCCAGCUGGGGCAGCCUGACCCACAAUGGCUUUGCAGCCCCCUUGCAGCCUCUCAGAACGUAGGGCACCAGGACUGUCCCUCUCGUUCUUACUCACCUGAGCUCGAAGCCCCUGCCUCCGCAAGGCUCCCAACUCUGGUCACGACUGAGUAUCUGUGCACCCACCUGGGAUGUGAAGUCUGCAGUGGCUCCCUUGCUCUUUGCGUGGAUAGGACACUGAGGCCAGAGAGGUCAAUAACUCAUUCAGUAUGGGAGAGAGCCAGGAGUCAAUCCGAAGCCUUGCCCUGGAGCACCUCCCCCUGUGACUUUCCCAGGACGAAUGGAAAGGAAAAAGGAAAAAAAAGAAGAAUCUGAGAUGGAUUUUCAUUUGGGGGUAAAAGAAAGGUAUCUGGCAAGAGUCUGAAAACCACGGGUAUAGACUUGGGGGUCUAAAAGGAAUGAAGAGGGGCGACACCGGCAAGCGCCUCUUGGUCCAGUCUGAGUUCCAGCUCUGGGAACAAGCCAGAGGGGCCCCUGGUUCUUGGAAAAGUCCUAUUUCGCCCACUCCGGAGUUGGCUUCUGGGGCCUGGAUCAUUUAUUGGUAACUGCUUCCUCCAAGGCUUUUGCCUGUUAGAGGCUUGGCCAGACUUCUGGGAAUGAGCCUCCCGAAGACCAGAAGGUCUGUGUUCACGCCUCUGUGUCACUCAAAGCUCCUAAGGACGCUCCUGGGGUCCCAUAUACACCCUCUGGUGUCAAAGGGGCGGGGUGGGAAACAAGAUUCUUUUCCAGCUUCCACAUCCCCAGAAGCCUCUGGAAACACAGCUGUGUGGUCAGUCGGGAGGGGCCUCCACUGAGUCUGCAGCGAGGGCUGCCCCCACCCUGGGUGAGCCUGACCUAGGCCGAGCAAGGUCUUUACGGAGGAUGGGGUGGGGGAAGAGAAGCAGAGCCCCCAGCCCAGGGCUCCCAUGGCGCCGGCGCCUCCACUGCGCAGCUCGCCUAACCCACCCCCGCCUCCCCUCCCAGGGCAGCAGACAACUAAAAAAAGAUAAAAUAAAAAGAAGUAAUUCCCCUG